UGGAGUUAUGCCAGUGGGCUUGCCUACUGUGUGACUCAGUGUUUCUCUCUUGCCUCUUUCACUGUGCUUUUUUUCUUCUGUGUAUUUUAGUGUUGUCAACACACCAGGAAAGAGGCCCUCUCCUGAGGAAUUUCUUUCAUGAGAUUGGCCUGUGGGCAGGUCUUUGAGGCAUAUUCUUAGUUGCUAAUUGAUGUAGAAGGGCACUGUGGGUAGCGCUAUCCCUAGGCUGGUGGACCUGGGCUAUAUAAGAAAGGUAGCUGGGCAAACCAGGGAAGGGAGCCAGUGUGCCUCUGAGGUUCUGGUUUCGUUUCCUACUUCGGCUUCCUUGAUAAAUGACUAUGACCUUUAAGCCAAAAUGAGCAAUUUUUUGCCCAAGUUGUUUUUGGUCAGUGUUUUAUCACAGCAUCAGAAAGCAAACUAGAAAAAGGGUUUUAGUUAAAUUCUAACAAAAGAAAGUUCUUUUCUGGUCUUAUCUUUGUAUUAUCUCCUGUAUCUGGGUUGAUAACUCUUUUCCUAACUUUGGAAAUUUAUCUGUUAUGAUUCUUUUGAAAAUAUUUUCUAGCCAGGCUGGCCUCGGACUCAGAGAUCUGCCUACCUCUGCCUUCCAAGUGCUGGAAUUAAAGGCGUGCACCACUAUGCCCCAUUUAUGUUUUGUUAUUUGCAUUGAAGUAACUUGUCAGGAGACAGAACUGACAGAAACCACAAUAGCAGUUGUGCCCAAUGCUGUCAUGGCACAAGCUCAGAAGGGUCCCUGUUUGCCUUACUUGUAUGGAGUUGUGUUGCAGAUGGCUUUAAUCUGUGUGCUUUUCUUUUUAAUCUCUUGUAUCUUUUGUGUUCCUAUUCUUUCUCCCCUUCUGACGAAUAAUACU
rnacentral:lncRNA from 1 species